rnacentral:rRNA from 1 species
CUGUUCCUCUAGUUAAUUAUCGUCGUGGAGGAGUUUUAGAAAAAAUAAAGAUAGAACGGAAUGAUGAGAAUUGGUCAAAUAUGGUCUUACUUCUGUAAAUUUGAGCUUCUUUUAAACUAUAACCUAAAAAGGCUGCUAUAGAGACAAGGAUUUGAGACCCUUUUAUUGAAGCUGUCUGUUAAGAGUCUACGUGGACUACGAGCUAAGUGCUUAAAACACAAAGAGGUUGGCGGUGUCUUACAUCCAUUCAGGGGAACUUGACGGUUAAUUCGAUAAUCCUCGAACUACCUUACCUUUACUUUACUUUUUAUACCGCCGUUGUCAGUUUGUCUCAAAGAGAGAAGAUUGGGGCUAAAAACAAUGAAUUUUUCUGAAUUAUUAUUUAUUUUACAGAAAGUCUAACAGUAUUGUUUAAAUUCAGGUAAACGUGAUGGAAUGUAAAGGGCUUAGUUGAGUUACAAUUGUUAAGCAUGAUGGAGGGCAUGAAUAGAAUGUUUGUCUGAAAAUGUACUUACUAGUAAAUUUCUGUUAGAGAGGGAAGUUGAAUUGGGUAAAUAAGACGCGUACAAACUGCCCGGCGCCCUCGUAUAAGUUUUUAAAAUGAGGU